GUUAUAGGCUUUUUAGAAGGACUAAAAAGAGGACACGAGGAUCAUUCGCCAAAUUAUAAAGCACUAGUCUUACUUCGCCCCAUGGUGCAAAGUAGUCUUGGUGCCGCCAUUUUAGGAGCAAAAUCAAUCAACGAGAAGUUCCCUGUCGACUACAGUAAAAACACGGAGAGCUUUUUCACAUUCACACCGGGUUGUUCAUAAGAUCACCAGAAUUAAAUACAAUAAAAAGUCGCAUAAAUUAAAGACCAGCUGUAUUUUAUGUCAGGCUAAAAUUGCUCUUAAAUAAUGAGUAUUAGCGAGAAGUCUACACCGGAUUCCAGAGCCUUCGACAGUAAAUAAUAAAUUGAAACGUCGCGAAGGCACUGGUUCAACGGGAAGAUUCUUUGAUUAAACCGCGCCAAUCACAAAACAGAAUUAGUGGUCUUAGUACAGAAUCUGUACUAAAACCACUAAUUCUGUUUUGUGAUUGGCGCGGUUUAAUCUAAGAAUCUUCCCGUUGAACCAGAGCCUUCGCGACGUUUCAGUUUAUUAUUUACUGUCGAAGGCUCUGGAAUCCAGGGUUUGAGAAGUCAGACCACUAUUAAACGUGGUCAGGCCGAAUUGGUUCUUAACUGGUUCUUAUUUUAGUCAAAACAAUUGUUGAUGAUUUAGAAAUUUUGUUUCAUUAACUAAUAAGUUGUUGACAAUAUUUGAUAAAACGUUAUUAUGCUUAUUUUUCUUUCUCAAAAGAAAACUCUCACCUCCGUUCAUAGUAUAAAUUAUUUUUUAGUUUUUAAUUCUAUACUAUACUAUAGGAUUAUACGAAAGGUAUUUUUUCCCAAUAUUUUUUUUAUAUUUGCAACGUUUUGGGCAGUGUAACUCUCUGUCUUCAGGCUAUAAACUACGAAAAUGAAUUACGAAUCAAACUUCUGAAUGUUGACGUGUUAAUACCAUACGUAUAAUCCUAUAGAAUUAAAAAAUAAUUUAUAUUAUUAUGCUUGUUUAGUAUUUAGCAACAGAUUAUGCUCUUUAUUUGCAAUAGUGUUAAAGUAAGUAUAUAUCUGCGUAUACCUGCAUGCCCUAGAAUUUUACGCGGGCUUUUACUGUAGCUGUGGACCUGGUGCCAAACUGAAUAUCAUCUUUUAGUAAUUAAUCAAAAUGUUCCAACUUUCAACUUAAUGAUUUGGUCAAUUUUCAAAGACCAUGCAUGAUUGGGGCUGAGCCUCCUUAACAAAACAGAACAACUAUGGCUGACUAUUACUGUAGUUUUAUCGAAU